rnacentral:ncRNA from 2 species
AGAGACUGAGCGGGAGAGCGUCAUCUCCAAAAAAUGACCGCCGAAGGAGCAACCGCCCCGGAAACUCUCAGGCUACUGGACCGCAACAGUUUC